CAGCCGCCACGGGAAUACGAAGGGGGCUAGCGUUGUUCGGAAUUACUGGGCGUAAAGCGCACGUAGGCGGACUAUUAAGUCAGGGGUGAAAUCCCGGGGCUCAACCCCGGAACUGCCUUUGAUACUGGUAGUCUCGAGUCCGGAAGAGGUGAGUGGAAUUCCGAGUGUAGAGGUGAAAUUCGUAGAUAUUCGGAGGAACACCAGUGGCGAAGGCGGCUCACUGGUCCGGUACUGACGCUGAGGUGCGAAAGCGUGGGGAGCAAACAGGAUUAGAUACCCCGGUAGUCCCUGUCUCUUAUAC
rnacentral:rRNA from 1 species